UACGUAGGGUGCAAGCGUUGUCCGGAAUUAUUGGGCGUAAAGAGCUCGUAGGUGGUCUGUUGCGUCGGCUGUGAAAUCCCGAGGCUCAACCUCGGGCCUGCAGCCGAUACGGGCAGACUAGAGUUCGGCAGGGGAGACUGGAAUUCCUGGUGUAGCGGUGAAAUGCGCAGAUAUCAGGAGGAACACCGGUGGCGAAGGCGGGUCUCUGGGCAACAACUGACGCUGAGGAGCGAAAGCGUGGGGAGCGAACAGG
rnacentral:rRNA from 1 species